UGAACACAGCAGCAAAGCUGCUGUCUUAGUAUAAAAUCUACAUCCGGAUGUGCAGUUUAACGUUAUGCAGAAAGGAUUUGAACUCAAAGUCAGUGGCCAUCAGAGAGAAUUUGCACAAAACCAAAAACGAUGGCGGUUGAGUGUUCGAUGAAAAUGAGGACCCUCUUUGUCACCUUUUCCACUCUUGUCCUUCUGGAAUCUGUGUCAGCAUGGUAUAAUCCAAUCUGCGGAAAUAAUGAGGAAGAAAAAACCACACCAGAUCGAGUUAAUGAGAUGUGGUGUGGUAGUCCAAGAACUCGAGAAGUUCUCUGUCGUAAAGGAUCGCAAACCAGUCUAUGUGCCUGCAGGAAUGGCUUCUAUAGAUUAGGACCGGAGGUGUGUAGCAACUGUGUCCGCUUUGACCGGUGCAAGUAGGCAAUGGUAAAGAAACCUUUAUUUCGUAAUAAAUAAGGUUUCCACAGUAAUCUUGCACGGCA